CACUAGGAAGCCAUUUUAGAAGCUGCCCACCGCAGGGAGCCAACACCAGAGAGGGCAAUGGUGUCCGAGGGCCAUCCUGCAAAGGAAUCUCUUGAAGGCCACUGAGCCAUUAAAGGGAGAGAAUCCACCUUGAGCUAAGCAAAACGUCUUCAGUGUUCUCAGAGACGACACUCCUCAGGCCUCCUUUCAAAUAAGGAACAAGGAGCAUGAAAUGAAGUGUUUCUUUUAAUUCUCCGCCAUGACCAGGGAUAAUUUGCAGCAGAAAUCCGGAGGAAAUAGUGGAAAAAGUCAUUUGCGUAAACAGGUUAAAACACCUGUUGCCAGCCCCCCAGAGGCCCCACCUUGGAUGACCCCACGGCGGCCCCCGCUGCACCUGACGUUGCUCGCGCGGAGGCCGCAUCUUUGGACGAAACGAGCCCCACAGCCCGGGGCGGCUCUGCGCGCGGCGGCCUGGGCGGAGUGGCUUCUGCGCAGGCGCCGCGUUUGCACGCCUCCACCUCCAGGGGGCGCUGAGCCGGGCGGAGCGGGGCGGCUCGGCACCUCUGUGGAGGGGCGGGGCGCUGGGCACGCGGACUUCUGAUUGGUGGGCCCGCUCUCACUUUCUUCUCAUCUUUGCAGCGGGCCCUCGGGAGGGACGCGAGUUAACGCAGCCGCGAGAGGAAACGGGGGGCGGGAGGGACGUGCGCGUACUUGAAGGGCGAGGGGCUGGCUGCCCCUAGAGGACGGAGAGAGCACAUUGGUGGUGUCCCGUGGGUGCAUUCGCUCCUCAGGGACAAUUCUAGUUCCCUAUUUAUUUUUUUUCAAUUAAGGCAGUUUGUUUAGUGUAUAAUUAACUGAGUUUCAAUUUUCAUACCUUUAUAAGGUACUUCAUAAAUAAAUUUACAUGUCUGGAAAAAAAUCCGUGGGCAGACUUAUUGAUAAUAAAUACA